CUUCUUGUUUCUACUAAUACCACAAUAUACCGUUUCACCCUAUGAUGCUUUUGGGGUGAAUGAGCUGGUCACAGUGUUAUUUGUAUAUUAAUGUAAGCUUAAUAAACACGACAUGCAGUGUAUGUUCCUACCAGUGAUGGAUCCGUGUGGGACUUGAUGAUGGGUUGCCACAGCAACAUCAGGAUCUGGUCCCCAUUGAUUGUUUACAGAUAGCCAUCUCACAGCUGGAAUAUUGCUGAAUCAGGUUGUAAACAACAAACACACUCAUUAGACAUUUACUACAGUACAUGAUUGUGCUUCAUAUGAAGAUGUCAGCUUGUAAGUAUCAUCAUCAUCAUCAUCAUCAUCAUCAUCAUGACAUUUUAAUGUAUUCUGUAUUUUUGUUCCUGACCAGGUGCCUGGCCAGUUCUGAUAGAUGACUUUGUAGAAUAUGCAAGACCAUUAGUUGACGGGCCACGGAGUACAACAGUAUAACCUACGUCUUGUUUGUAUAGCCACUUUUUUAUUGACUCCUAGAACUAUACAUAGAUGACUGUACCCUCCAGGUCACGUGACAGUCAUGUGAUCUCGUCAUGUGAUGUUGGUAUGUGACUUACCCAUGUGAUUCUACAUGAAGGGCAAUAGGAAGGAUGUUAAAUGACAAACCGCUUGUGAUUGGUCAAAUCUGAUCAUGUGACCGAGUCAGGUGUUAAUUAUGGAAUCAAGCACGAUCUAGAGUUGAGCGGGCUGCUGACAGGUAACUGACGAUGAAGAUUACAGUAAACAUUCGCCGUGAUGACUCUGAGGGAGGAAUUCCGGAGAGUGAAGAGCUGAAUGUGGUACUGAUAUUGGACAUAGUGUACAGUUACUGACCUCCUUGUUGGAGCUUUUGAUCUACGAAAACAGCUAUCUGAUGAGUGAUGCUUGUUGUAAUACAACUGUAGACGCCCAUGUGUAAGAUAUGUAAUAUAUGUACAAUGAUUCAUCUCCAGAUGAUCUCCGUGCUGUCAUCCCUGUUGUCUGCCUCCGAUGUACAUGUAAACGACACGAGGCGACAACAGAACCAGUCUAUCUCUAGUUAUCAGUGCCGCACACAAGGAGACAUUUGUCUGCCUCCGAUGUACAUGUAAACGACAUGAGGCGACAACACAACCAGUCUAUCUCUAGUUAUCAGUGCCGCACACAAGGAGACACUUUGGCUUGCUAUGUAUUCAGUUCUCUAGCUGUGGGGGAUAUAAUCUUGUUGUUUUUCCUAUUACUUUGCCAAAGCUUUAAGUAUAUUGUGUUGUGCCACCAGCUUGGGGUGUUAAUCACAUGCAACAAAACAAGUUUGUCCUGAAAAACAUGUUCAUGAUUUGUAACCUGCGGCCACCACCAUGGACCUUUAACACACACUUUCACCUGGACCCUCAGCCUGUCAGUGACCUUGACCUUGCCAACCUUUCAAGGGUCCCAGGAGGAAAUAUGAGGGUCCUGUAAAGUAAGGAAAUAUUGUAGCAUACUGUUCCCUUUGAUUAUAGGAUGACAUUAAUUGAAGGAACUUUAUCAUUUCUUUUCAAGACUUUUGUACAGUAAAUAUUAUUGUGUCCUUUGAGAUGAAAUGUGUUUUUCUGCAUCUGUUUCUGUGUUGCAUCAAUCUGAUAGUGACACUACUAAGUCGAAAUUUCUAGGUUUCUGAUGUGAAAUAGGCUAUGCUGUAGAUCCCUCUCAUACAGUACUGAUAGUGCUAUAGACCUGAGAGAUAAUUCUUUCUUAAAACAAAUGUCUUACAAGAUAAUCCAACUCAGCUCUCUGGCUCAGUCAGACGAGUCAGGAAUUAUCCCAGUGUUCCAAGCUGUGUGCCCUACGCAGGUAAAUUAGGAAAGAUCAUUAUUUUGUUCAGUGUAGGGAUUAUAUGAAGGUUUAAGUUCAAAGGCUUUUUAUCUUGAACACUUUACUUUACAUUGAAUGCAAUGGUCCUGUUUUCAGUGAAAGCCACCUUUACAAAUACAUAGGGUUGGUUAAACAGUAAUACCAAGUGUGAAGUCUGUAAUCUCUGUUCCGACACUUGUUGCCGACCCGGACCCCAAUAUCGGCCUGGAAGCAGGUGUAGUACCUGGGUGCUUGAAGUUUCUAGGGUUUGGAAGAAAUGAUACUUCUAGAUUCAGUUGUCUAGAGCCUUGCAGACUGGAGUCUGUCCCUAUCUGAGAGCAGACGUCUUCAAUCUGUCAUACUGCUGACCUCUUCAGUAGUCUGGGUUUUCAUUCAAGUAGGGUGGUACGGAAACUCUUGCUGAACGAGUUUCAUUUGCUGUGUUGAUGUUCCUGUUGUUAUGUAUAUUGUUUAUUCUUUUCCAGGAUGAAUUAAAGAGUAGCGGUUUAUUAGUACAGUAGUAUUUGCCCGGUAGUAUUCACAUAUAGGUUGGCAGCCUUGGUUUACUACUUGUUUUACAUACCGGUAAGUGUAAGCAGCCAUGGGUUGUAGUCUCACUCCAGGGGAAGCCUUGAGACUGGAAUUUAUGUUUCACGGAGUCCCUCACCUUUAGUCUUAUGGCGUUUGGGAUUAAACAUCGAGGUCUGUUGUCAUGUAUAAGUUUGUUCUUAAAGAUCACUUUACAUUGUGCACUUAUUUUUGUAUCUAUUCAGGGCUUGUUACUGAUUUGUUGUUAUUUAUUAUUCAUGAUCAACUACUGAUCUAAAAUGAAUAGAUUUGUUUGAGAACGAUUCUUUAGAUUACUUUCAGUUGAUAACUCUGUCCAGUAAAGUUAAUGGAAUUCCUUGUCCAACAUUUCAGUGUACCCAUGGCAACUGUAGGUGAAAGAAACGAGAGUCUUCAUAUUUGUUUUUAACAGUAAAGUGAUAAAUAUUAACAGAUUGCCACUGCUGCCAACUCAUACCUGCCUGUAACUGUUCACACCAAAGGUAUGUUUUACAGGUAACAGAUAUCUACAUGUCAACUCGUCGUAUCUGUAACUGUUCACACCAAGGGUAUGUGUUACAGGUAACAUAUAUCUACAUGUCAAGUCAUACCUGUCUGUAACAGGUAUGUUACAGGUAACAGAUAUCUACAUGUCAAGUCAUACCUGUCUGUAACAGGUAUGUUACAGGUAAGAGAUAUCUACAUGUCAAGUCAUACCUGUUACAGACAGGUAUGUUACAGGUGCGUUCGAGUGAAUUUGUACUAGGGACCAUGUGAUGCACUCUGAGCAAGUUCAAGAGGACCUCUCGGGGCACAGCAGCAUCUGGGUCUAUUGUGUAGUCUGAGACCCUGCUGCUGUUGCCACGUCCUUGUCCUUGUUUAUUUCUCCUUCGUGUGAGUGAAACAGAGAAUUAGAAACACUACUGCAUUUACCUCCCACCUUUGUUUUUGUAUACCUAAAUUUAGUUAUUUCUAAGUCAAGGUGGGUUUUUUCAUUAUAUGUUUGCGUUAAUAGUUUGAGAUCAAUAUUGUUACAGAAAAUUAUUAUUUUGAUACAAAAAGUGUCCGAUUCAUACAAGAGACUCAUAUCACAAGGGUUGUUUUAAAUGCACUAUAAUAUAUUGUAAAUAAUGCUUUGCCAAUAUAUAUAUUAAAAUACAAAAUAUGAAUAA